UCCCUGCUGACUCAAUUGGUAAAGAGUUUGUCUGUGAUGCAGGAGACCCAGGUUCGAUCCCUGGGUUGGGAA
rnacentral:tRNA from 1 species